rnacentral:tRNA from 1 species
GCCGAUGUAGCUCAGUUGGCAGAGCAGCUGAUUCGUAAUCAGCAGGUCGGUGGUUCGAUUCCACUCAUCGGCUCCA